rnacentral:misc_RNA from 1 species
CUUGCAGAGUAAAUGAUUAACAUCCCAACCACCUAAAUACAAUACGUUAUUUCGCAGUAUUUUCAUCACAAAUGUUCAUACAAGUCCUAAUUUGGAGCGAGCAUUCUUGAGGAGUGCUUCAAGCGCAACAUCAACAGCGUCUGCAAAUCCAACAUCGCUAGAAUUCGGAUGGGCAUACGUUAUUCUUGGCAUCAUCUCUAUUAUUUUUCUACGCAUUCUCCCCACUCUAUCGCUUGAUAUCUUCGAUAGCUCUUCCUCUAUACUCUUCUUCCCUUUUCCUUUCUCCAUCUCACUCCCAUCUAAAUCUAUAUAAACCGAAUACGCACUACCAUUCACCGGUAAAUACCAUCCGUACUGGGUGUACGCCGUGUGUGGAGAGAAAAACACCGGUAUGCAACCCGCCAGCACAGAGUCGAACGUUGAUCGUCUCGUGAACGAGUCUCCUGGCGCUUGUAAGCAAANNNNNNNNNNNACACUUUAAGCACCUCGAAAGGUUCAUGGCAUUUACCGCCACCGCUGCCACAUAUCAGGAGGUUGCACCGAGUUGACUCGUUACAUUGCCUUAUUAACUCGUCUCGCACGGCGGCUUUCUGCACCCCCUUCCGUGGUCGUCCAAUGAAGGAGAAAAGGUGGGUCCUCUCUGAUCGAAUCAUUUUCUGCUGCCACGUACGCAUCUGAACGACAUUGGAUGGGUGGAAAUAGGAAGGAUACGGCAAACCGUAUUGAUUGAGUCCUUGCCAUGGAUGCCUCUCUACGGUCAACACCGACAUGUUUUUGACAGGUGGGAGAUUAAGGAGGCAGUUGGCUCCGAAGUCAGGCUCACCAUUGGUGGUCCUCAUGAAAUCCCAUGCAGUUCUCCCCAGGGCUAAAAAAUG